AACGAACGCUGGCGGCAGGCCUAACACAUGCAAGUCGAGCGAGGACUUCGGUUCUAGCGGCGGACGGGUGAGUAACGCGUGGGAAUGUGCCCUUCUCUACGGAAUAGCCCUGGGAAACUGGGAGUAAUACCGUAUACGCCCUAUUGGGGAAAGAUUUAUCGGAGAAGGAUCAGCCCGCGUUGGAUUAGGUAGUUGGCGGGGUAAUGGCCUACCAAGCCGACGAUCCAUAGCUGGUUUGAGAGGAUGAUCAGCCACACUGGGACUGAGACACGGCCCAGACUCCUACGGGAGGCAGCAGUGGGGAAUCUUAGACAAUGGGGGCAACCCUGAUCUAGCCAUGCCGCGUGAGUGAUGAAGGCCUUAGGGUUGUAAAGCUCUUUCAGCUGGGAAGAUAAUGACGGUACCAGCAGAAGAAGCCCCGGCUAACUCCGUG
rnacentral:rRNA from 1 species